ensembl:lncRNA
AUGUCUCUAGGUCCUGCUAACUACUGUUUUAUUUGCAUUUGUUUCCAGGGUACAAUAUUCUGCCUUCCCCACCAACCCACAGUGGAUCAAAUGAAGAAUGUGACAGAAGUAGAAAACAGAGGAGGGAUUCACCCUGAAGCUGGAUUUGAUAAUGCAAACACAUCUGGAGUUUCAGUUCAGUAUGUGGACAACCAAGAAGUGAUUUCUGAAGGCACAUUUGAGGACGAUAAUAUAUUAAUCAAGCCUACUGUAAAGCUUUCAGUGCAAUGCAUGGAGAACCAGAGAGGCCUUAAUGGGCAAAUUUUGUAUGAUGAUGUGUCAUACCCCAUCCAUCUCCAACCUCAAGCUGAGCCGGAUAUUCAGGAUGAAGGCAUUGUAGUUGACAUGGAAGAAGAUGAAGGACAGGAAUUGUACUAAUGUGUAUUUGAUGUGAAGAAAAGUUUAGCACCUCUAGGUUAUGAAGUUAACAUGGAAUAAGAUAGAAACGAGAUUGAUUCUGGGGACUGACUUUGAUUAUUCAUGUUAAAUAGUGUGCAAACUAAAUAUUUCACGGGCAGUUUUUUUUUAAGGUACUGUGUUCAAACUGAAAUGAAGGAAAGUGAGGAAAGACAAGUAUUACUGCCCAAUAAAUUAUAAUUAAUUAUAAAUCA